rnacentral:rRNA from 1 species
GAUGAACGCUGGCGGCGUGCCUAAUACAUGCAAGUCGAGCGAACGGACGAGAAGCUUGCUUCUCUGAUGUUAGCGGCGGACGGGUGUGUAACACGUGGAUAACCUACUUAUAAGACUGGGAUAAUUUCGGGAAACCGGCGCUAAUCCCGGAUGAUAUUUUGCACCGCAUGGUUCAAAAGUGAAAGACGGCCUUGCUGUCACUACUAGCUGGAUCCGCGCUGCAUUAGCUAGUUGGGAAGGUAACGGCUUAUCAAGGCAACGAUGCAUAGACGACGUGAGAGGGGGGUCGCCCGCCCGAGAACGUGAACGCGCACAUGGCUCCUGCGGGAGGCAGCAGUAGGGUAUCUGCCGCAAUAGGCGAAAGCAUUACAGAGCAACGCGGCGUGAGAUAUAAAGAUGUUGCGUGCGUAAAGCUCUGUUAUGGGGUGUAAACAGAUUUGUAAGGAGCUGUGCACAGCGUGACGGUACCUAGUCAGAAAGCCACGGCUAACUACGUG